GAGAAAACUGAGGAUGGACCAACAACAUUGUAGUUACUCCACAAUACUAACCUAAAUGACAGGAGGGAAAAGAAGGAAGCCUGUACAGAAUAAAAAUAUUCCAAAACAUGCAUCCUGUUUGCAAUAAGGCAACAUUGCAAAAAAUGUGGCAAAGAAAUGUACUUUAUGUCCUGAAUACAAAGUGCCAUGUUUGGGGCAAAUCCAACACAUCACUGAGUACCACUCUUCAUAUUUUCAAGCAUUGUGGUGGCUGCAUCAUGUUAUGGGUAUGCUCGUCAUCGGCAAGGACUGGGGAGUUUUUUUUAGGAUAAAAAGAAACGGAAUAGAGCUAAGCACAGACAAAAAUCCUAGAGAAAAACCUGGUUCAGUUUAUUUUCCUACAGACACUGGGAUACAAAUUCACCUUUCAGCAGGACAAUAACCUAAAACACGAGGCCAAAUCUACACUUGUCGUAGGGUUGAGACCAAGACGCAGCGGGAAAAUGUACACAUCUUUUAUUAACGGACAAAGGAAAACCAAAAUAAACACACGUAUAUAAAAAACACGACGAUAACAGUCUUGUCAGGCACACACAGCUAAACAAGAACAAUCUCCCACAAAAUACUAACACAAACACAUACCUAUUUAUAGGACCCUCAAUCAGAGGCAACGAGAAAACACCUGCCUCCAAUUGAGAGUCCAACCCCCAAUUAACUAAACAUUGAAAUACAAAUGACUAGACUGAACAUAGAAAUACAUUAACAUAGAACAGUGCCCAAAACCCGGAAUAAUAAAUCAAACACCCUACUACUAACACCACCAGCCCGAACCACAUAAAACAAAUACCCCCUGCCACGUCCUGACCACACUACAAUAACAAAUAACCCCUAUUACUGGUCAGGAUGUGACAACACUGGAGAUGACAUUGAAUGUUCCUGAGUGGUCUAGUUACAGUUUUGACUUAAAUCAGCUUGAAAAGCUAAAGAAUAAUGUGCAAAUCUUUUAGCGACUUACCCAGAAAAACGGAAUAUUAGUGGGGGUUUUUUAAAACAUUUUUAACAAAUGUUCAUUGUUCUUCCACUAUGACAUUACAGAGUGUUUUGUGUAGAUCGUUGACAAAAAAUGACAUUCAAUCCAUUUUAAUCCCACCGUGUAACACAACAUUUUGAAAAAGUCAAGGGGUGUGAAUACGUUCUGAAGGCACUGUAUAAUAUAAUAAUAUAUGCCAUUUAGCAGACGCUUUUAUCCAAAGAGACUUACAGUCAUACUGCAUACAUAUUAUAUAUGGGUGGUUCCGGGAAUCAAACCCACUACCCUGGCGUUACGAGCGCUAUGCUCUACCAACUUAGCUAAAAUGGACCACAACAGCUACAAGUCUCUUUGUGCCUUGUUUAACGUUGCAAAGCCAAUUGAGAGGUAUCUCAGCCUACUACAGAUGGUUGGCUCAGUGAUCAUGCCCCAUAAUCAGUUCAGUUCAUUUAUUAGGCCUUUUACAGGAAAUUUGUCCAGCAUUCAAGAGCACUAUGUCAAAGACAUAAAACCAUCAACAUUUACAGAAAACAUGGCAUAGAUCACAACAACCACAUAGAACAGAUAGAUAUAUACACAGGUAGGAUAUAGAACAGAUAGAGAUAUAGAACAUAUAGAUAUAUACACAGGUAGGAUUAGAACAGAUAGAGAUAUACACAGGUGGGAUAUAAAAUAGAUAGAGAUAUAGAACAGAUAUAGAUAUAGAUUAGAUAGAGAUAUAGAACAGAUAGAGAAAUAUACCGGUAGGAUAUAGAUUAGAUAGAGAUAUAGAACAGAUAGAGAUAUACACAGGUAGGUUAUAGAUUAGAUAGAGCUAUAGAACAGAUAUAGAUAUAGAACAGAUAGAGAUAGAACAGAUAGCGAUAAAACACAGGUAGGAUAUUGAUUAGAUAGAGAUAUAGAACAGAUAUAGAUAUAGAACAGAUUGAGAUAUACACAGGUAGGAUAUAGAAUAGAUAGAGAUAUUUAACAGACAGAGAUAUAGAACAGAUAGAGAUAGAGAUAUAAAACAGAUAGAGACAGAGAACAGACAGAUAUAGAACAGAUAUAAAAAAGAUAGAGAUAUAGAACAGAUAUAGAACAGAUAGAUAUAGAACAGAUAGGUAUAGAGAUAUAAAACAGAUAGAGACAGAGAACAGACAGAGAUAUAGCACAGAUAAAGAUAUAGAACAGACAGAGAUGUAGAACCGAUAGAGAUAUAUAACAGAUAUAGAUUUAUAACAGAUAUAAAACAGAUAGAGAUAUAGAACAGAGAGAUAGAGAACAGAUAUAGAACAGAUAGAGAUAAAGAACAGACAUAGAUUUAGAACAGAUAUAGAACUGAUAGAGAUAUAGAACAGAUAUAGACAUAGAACAGAUAUAAAACAGAUAGAGAUAAAGAACAGACAGAGAUAAAAAAAAAACAGAUAUAGAACAGAUACAGAUAUAGAACAGAUAGAGAUAUAGAACAGAUAGAGAUAUAGAAAAGAUAUAGAACAGAUAAAGAUAUAGAACAAAUAGAGAUAAAGAACAGAUAUAGAUGUUGUAAGGAGUGACGCCGGACAGCAGAAGCAGGUACGGGGAGUCAAACAUUUAAUCAGGGACGGACAUAGAACACGACAGGAACAGCGUUAGCACACGGGUAAACUAGGACAUAUGACAAACAUAAAUCCCAAAGCAUGGAACAGAGCUUGGGAACAGACAGUUAAAGGGAAGGCAAAAACACAAGUAAUAGAGUUCAGCUGAGUCCAAUGAGCGCAGAUGCGCGCGACUGGGAAAGGCAGGUGUGCGUACUAAUGGUGGCUUGAUUGCGUAAUCCUGGAGAGACUGGCACCCUCAAGGGGGAGGAUGAGUGGGAACAGGGCAUGACAGUACCCCCUCUAGGGGUACCACCUGGCGUCCCACCUGGGUGAGAAAGAAAGAAAGAAAGAGAGAAAGAAAGAGAGUGAGAAUUAGAGAGAGCAUACUUAAAAUUCAUACAGGACACCGGAUAAGACAGGAGAAAUACUCCAGAUAUAACUGACCCUAGCCCCCCGACACAUAAACUACUGCAGCAUAAAUACUGGAGGCUGAGACAGGAGGGGUCGGGAGACACUGUGGCCCCAUCUGACGAUACCCCCGGACAGGGCCAAACAGGCAGGAUAUAACCUCACCCACUUUGCCAAAGCACAGCCCCCACACCACUAGAGGGAUAUCUCUAACCACCAACUUACCAUCCUGAGACAAGGCCGAGUAUAGUCCACAAAGAUCUCCGCCACGGCACAACCCAAGGGGGGGCGCCAACCCGGACAGGAAGAUCACGUCAGUGACUCAACCCACUCAAGUGACGCACCCCUCCUAGGGACGGCAUGGAAGAG
rnacentral:lncRNA from 1 species